rnacentral:rRNA from 1 species
UACGUAGGGGGCAAGCGUUAUCCGGAUUUACUGGGUGUAAAGGGAGCGUAGACGGCUUUGCAAGCCAGAUGUGAAAGCCCGGGGCUCAACCUCGGGACUGCAUUUGGAACUGUAUGGCUGGAGUGUCGGGGAGGCAGGCGGAAUUCCUAGUGUAGCGGUGAAAUGCGUAGAUAUUAGGAGGAACACCAGUGGCGAAGGCGGCCUGCUGGACGAUGACUGACGUUGAGGCUCGAAAGCGUGGGGAGCAAACAGG